GACGGGGGAUGCGAGCGUUAUCCGGAAUGAUUGGGCGUAAAGGGUCCGCAGGUGGCCCGGUCAGUCCGCUGUCAAAGCCUGGGGCUCAACCCUGGAGAGGCGGCGGAGACCACCGGGCUUGAGUCCGGUAGGGCAGAGGGAAUUCCCGGUGGAGCGGUGAAAUGCGUAGAGAUCGGGAGGAACACCGGUGGCGAAGGCGGUUCUCUGGGCCUGUACUGACGCUGAGGAGCGAAAGCGUGGGAGCGAACAGG
rnacentral:rRNA from 1 species